AAAAUCCGUCGACUUUAAAAAUCGUGAGGGUUCAAGUCCCUCUAUCCCCAAAAAAAACCUAUUUGACUCCCCAAAAAAUAUUUAACCUAUCCCC
rnacentral:tRNA from 1 species